rnacentral:lncRNA from 1 species
CUGCUCUAUUGGCUUGUUAUUAUAUGGUGCAUGUUUUAAAUUUAUAUUUUCUAUAGCUUAUCGAUUGAUCUAGUUUAUUUGGUUGUACAUUAUCAGCAUGAAUGUAGUUUAAUUAAUAUGUGAAUAUAAAAUGAGUUAUUGGUAUUUGUGUGAUUGAGUAUUAUGUUGAUAAAAAUCUGUAUGUGAAAGACUCACUGGGUACCCUAGAAAUGGUGGAUGGACCUAGUACAUAGGGAACCC